rnacentral:rRNA from 1 species
AGCGGCGAACGGGUGCGUAACACGUGGGCAAUCUACCGAGAAGUGGGGGAUAGCUCGCCGAAAGGCGAAUUAAUACCGCAUGUGGCUACUGGAGACAUCUUCGGGACGCUAAAGGUGGCGCAAGCUACCGCUUUUUGAGGAGCCCGCGGCCUAUCAGCUUGUUGGCGAGGUAACGGCUCACCAAGGCGUUGACGGGUAGCUGGUCUGAGAGGACGACCAGUCACACUGGGACUGAGACACGGCCCAGACACCUACGGGUGGCAGCAGUCGAGAAUUUUUGACAAUGGGGGAAACCCUGAUCGAGCGACGCCGCGUGGAGGAUGAAGGUCUUCGGGUUGUAAACUCCUGUCAUUUGGGAACAAGGCGCGUGUAUUAACUGUGCAGGCGUUGAUAGUACCAGAAGAGGAAGAGACGGCUAACUCUGUGCCAGCAGCCGCGGUAAUACAGAGGUCUCAAGCGUUGUUCGGAUUCAUUGGGCGUAAAGGGUGUGUAGGUGGCGCGCUAAGUCGGGUGUGAAAUUUCGGAGCUUAACUCCGAAACUGCAUUCGA